rnacentral:rRNA from 1 species
UACGAAGGGGGCUAGCGUUGCUCGGAAUUACUGGGCGUAAAGGGUGCGUAGGCGGGCAGGUAAGUCAGUGGUGAAAUCUCCGGGCUUAACCCGGAAACUGCCGUUGAUACUAUCUGUCUUGAAUAUCGUGGAGGUAAGCGGAAUAUGUCAUGUAGCGGUGAAAUGCUUAGAUAUGACAUAGAACACCCAUUGCGAAGGCAGCUUACUACACGAUCAUUGACGCUGAGGCACGAAAGCGUGGGGAGCAAACAGG